UCACGCAGAAAGCCAUGUCUCAAGACUCCCAGCCACAAACUGAUGGAGGUGACCAGAAACACACCAUAACCAUCGCAGCUGGUCAAAGAUCCUGUAACAGGCCUGCAAGGAGCUCAACUGAGCAAUUCCCUCAGAAGCAAAGAGGGGAGGAGUAUGUUCUCACUGUGCAGCGGAAGACGGAUGCAGUCUACGGAGGCAAGUGAAGUGCUGCUUGUUAGAUCAAAGCUAAGCAUCUCUGCUCGACAUACUUCAAACAGGAACUGAGGAUGGUGGUUCUCCAAGUGUUUGUUUUUAUCGGGUUUCCUGUGUUCAGUUUAGGGAAAACAGACAACAGGAGUUGUUUGAAAUAAAGCUGUAAUUUACUAUCCUAACAUGCUGAGAAGCAAUUAGAUUCAAGCUAAUUACUGUAAAUAGUUUUUAUAAUUACUUGUAAAACAUUCUACUACCUGUACAUCUGCUAAAGUCAGUCGAGGCCUGUAGUAGUAUUUUUUUUCUAAGAGAAGGCUUAAUGUUAUUACUCAAGGGCCAAACUGUUUUCUUGAAAUCUUCAAAAAGGAGUAGCUAUGCUGUAGAAACUACUGCUGGAAAGCAUCUGUUAGGGCAUGCAUCCCCUUCACAAGACUGUGUGUAUCAGUAAACUGAAGAGUUGUCUAGGCUAGUUUAUAUUUCACAACUAUACUACUACCUGGAAAGACUGUUCCAGAACCUAAAAAGAUCUUUGUCAAAAGAAGAAUCAAAUAAUUUUCAGCUGAAUCCUGAUUUUCUUAAGCUUUGUCCCACUAUUCAGGUUUUUCUCUCUACUUGAAGCAUACAGAAAACAAUCUCUCCCUUAUGUUCUUCUACCACAACCAUUAUUUUUUCGUUCAGCAUUGGUCACUUUGGCCUGGCCCUUCACACUUUCACAGGCACACAAACCAGUUGGAGUUCCACCACCUCUGUGCCCUCACGAUCACAGCUUUAAGUUUUUUCCUCUUCCCACAGGUCUGUCAACUCUUGUUCUGAACUUGACCCAGUGGUCUCCAGUUUGGACAACUAUUUCUGCACUGCUGAUGGGUGCUCAAACAAUCCUAGUCUGUUGUUUGGGUUUUGGUUCACCUGAAAAGGUCUCCUGACAUCUGGGGGCAAUUCCAAGAACUCAUGGAUAGUGCACAUUGGUUUAUUUAAGCAUACAGUAAUGCAUUGGCAACUUUCUUCAACAAAGGGUGACUUCCACACAUGUACAAGUCUAUCUCACACAAAAUACACAUCUUAGCUGUCAAAUAACAAAAUGCAAAUACAGGAACGUGUUGUUGGGUUGUCCUACCAUUUAUGAGCUUCAUCUUAACUCUAAUCUUACUACACAGAGACAAUUAAUUGUAAUCCUGCACAUAGAAUGGCAUGGGACCUGAUGACCAUGAGGUUAAGAGCAAAUCUCUGUAUACUGGAAUGUGAGGGGGAAGAGGAACUAGAAGUCCAUUUUUUCACAUAUUAUUACCCUUCUCCUGCAGUGCAGGGGUAUUUCCUUGCACACCUUUACCUUUUUAGCUUGUUAUAGAGCAGCUUCACACAGGUCUUGUGCAGUUGAUGACAGAAAUGCUGCCAACCACUUCUGCAGUUGAUAGAAAAGCCUGUCAGAA